rnacentral:lncRNA from 1 species
CGUAUACAGAGACAUGCAUGGGCUUAUGGGGUAACGCCACUGUCCACUUAAUAGAACGAUUGGCUGAGCUACUUCCUGGUCUCGACAGAAAUCACUGCAAACACUGGGCAGUGGACAAUAUCAUGCAAAUCCUGGAACUUUUAAGGUAUCUUUUUUGUUUACAUUUAUUUCUAAUUUAUUUUUUAAUGCAUUACCUAGAUAUUUUUAUUAUUUAAUUUCUCAGCCAAUGAAAAUAAUUGCGAUAGCCAGAUGUGAUUGCUACUAUAAGGUGCAUAAUCACACCAAACUAAUUUGUUUUCUGUAAAACAUGUAUCCAGAAAUGUCAGUGUGAUCAUCACAAAGUACAUUGCGAGAUUUGACUGCAUGUCCUUAAACUCCCCAAUACAGAGGCCUCUGGAGUAAGACACAGCUCUGGCUGACAGCUCACACCUGGUUAACUAUUAACACCAAAUCAUUGUGCAGUCAAGGUUACCAAACAAAUAAAGAUAAGUGUCAGCAAAUUCUAUAAAAUGCUGUAAUACAGGGCCUCCCUGAGUAGGACAGCAGAGCAAUUCUGCAGAGCACAACAACAUUCCUCCCACCAUAUCAAAUGGAAAAAACGAGGGACACUUUCAUUUUAGGGGUGUGCGUGAGGGGUGUGGGCCGGAGCGGCUGUAAAAUUGUAUGUGACUUACUAAUAACUAUUUAUACAACUAAAUGUUAUUUAGAACAAGGACAAUGUAUCAUAUGUGCUCAUGAACGACUGCAACUUAAUGUAGUUGUUCUGUUGUCUAUAGCCUGUCCCUGCAGGCUUCUUAUUGUAAACACUCAAUUUUCAGAGAAGAGGCAGUGCUUACAUUGCUGCCUAGUAACACCUCUAGUGGCAGUCACUCAGACAGCCACUAGAGGUGCUUCUUGGAUCAGCGCUGCACAGUAUGCAGCACUGUCGUUCAGCGUCUCCAUGCUCUGCAAAGAUGCUUUGAUUCACUGCAUCUCUAUGAGGAGAUGCUGAUUGGUGCAGCUCAGAAUUUUGCCGUGCAUGCACAAUAGCAUUCCAAUACUUUCUUAUGGAUUCCAGAUGGUCAAAUUUGGUGAUUUCAGCCAUGGAGGCAGAGUGAGGCGUUAUGAGAUCAGCACAAUGCUGGAAAAGGGGGAAUAAAAUCACCUUUUAAUGGGCCGUGGGGAGCGGCCAGCUGAGGCAGCAAGGAGGUGGCCGGCUGAGGUAGCACGCAAGGGAGCAGUAAUGUUUCUGCAGCUCCUUUCUUCCUGCUCUCGCUGUUUAGUGAUCCCGGGAGCCGGAACCCAGCCCCGGCAUCACCAAAGAGAGCGUGCAAGGGGAGCUGCAGGAAGAUUAGAGAGUAGCUCCACUAAUCCCCAGGGAAAGGUUAGCUUUCUUAAUGAUAGGGAGGAUGGGUGGACAUAAGUUGAAAUAAACAUGUCAAUUUGUGAGUUUAUGUGUGUCUGUCAGUGUUUGUGGGUGUAUGUGUGUGUGUUUGAUAGUGUUUGUGAGUGUUUGUGUGUGUUUAGGUACCUGCCCCCCCCCCCCACCUCCCCAAUCACAUGAGAAAGGUGAUUUUACUCAACUUUUUCCCCAUGCCGUGCCGUUUUCACCACGGCUGGUCCUGUCUCCAUGACUGGGAUCAUCAAUCUUAAUGAUCUCAGCUAAGCCAUCGCAUUCCCAUAGGAAAGCAUUGGGAGGAUAUUGUGUAUAUUUUUAACAUUCAGCGCCUCCAUGUCCAGAGCAUGGAGACACUGAACGUGGGUGCUGCACACUGUGCAGCGCUGUCACAGGACUCUAGUGGCAGUCUGAGUGACUGUCAUUAGAGGUGUUACUAGGCAGCAAUUUAAUCACUGCCUUUUCUCUGAAAUGGUAAUGUUUACACUGAAAAGCCUACAGGGACAGGUUAUAGACACCAGAACAACUACAUCAAGCUCAAGUGUCCCUUUAAGAAUUGCAUUUUUUUUUCUUUGAAAAAUAAACUUUACUGUUUUUUUAAAAAUGGAUCCUAACUUUUUAGCUGGCUCCUAGGUUCCAAAUAAAUUUGUCAAGCCACUGUUUUAUUGCUUAGUUGGCACAUUUGUAGCAAAAUAAAUGUAUUUACUGCUUACCCAUAUUUAAGAUAAUAUCAAGUCGGCAUUCCAGGUAAUGUCUGUCAGUGCAGGUUGGAUCUGAAAGAAUAAAAACAAAAUGGACGUUACACAAACUGACCAAGGCUUGCAAUAUUUAUACUUAGAUUCUGAACACUGCAAUACAAUUAAUGAGAAAGCUGUAACAUACUAAGUAAAACUAUCAGUCACAGAGAAAUGUUAUAUUAGAGCAGGGUUAGGCAGCCUUUUAGCAGUACUGUGCUAAAACAAUAUCUCGAAGUCUCUUGAUGUGCCAACCCAAAUUUUGUAUCUGUGUAUGUUGCCGUAUUCUGCUUAUUUAUGGGCGGCUUUGUAACAUUGUAUUUGUGCGCAUGCAGACUAUUCUAUUGUAUAUGUUCAUUAGUAAUUUGUGGCAUUUUCUAUGAUACCUAUGAAUGUAGGCUGUGUAUGGGGGCUGCUUGUGGAAUUGCGUGUGUGGAUGAUAUGUCACAGUGUGUUUGGUGGUGUUUGUAUGUGUGGGGUUGCUUGUGGUAUUGCAUGUGGUAUUGUGGUAUUGCAAACUGUGUGUGUUUGUUUGUGGGUGGUCAGUAUAAUUGGUGUAUGAUAGGGAGGCUUAUUCUCGAAUUUUUUGUAUAUUUAUCUAGUGUGUGGCUUCCUUGGGUUUCAGUGGGGACCAGGUUGGCUAGGUACAGGUCAAAGGCAGGAUAUGCGAUAGUUGGUGGGGGCUGCUCUACUCCAGUACGGAUUCAUGUUCACAAGUGCUCGAAUGGUAAAUUGAGAAUUAUCCCUCACCACCUUUUGGCAUUAGGUGGUGAUUACUGAAUUUCCACCAGGACUCUUGAUAGGCCAGAGCCUGUUUGGGUCUAGCAGCCUUGAGUGCUGUACAAAGGCUCCUUGAGUGCUAUGCUUGGCAGAUGUGCCGUAGGUUGCUGACCCCUGUAAUAGAGGGGUUGUCCAUAUUCUUCACUAAUGGAUUAGACGCAAAACAAGGAGGGUGGAAAACUAGAUAUUAAAAAAAACACAAACUUAAAAAAAAAAAAAGUUAGUUUUAUCGAUAGCUCUAAGCACAAGAUUUAGGACAGGAUAAUAACAGAACAACAACUAUAAAAAAGUAAUGAUCAACUAAAAGAUAACAGGUUCAUUCAGUCAAUAUUGUGUAUGGGAGGAGUUCUAAGCACAAGAGAUAAUGGUUGGAAAAAAAAUACAUCUGUUUUAGUCCAGUAAUUGAAGAGGGACUAUCAUUUCUGAAUUACUACUAAAUGUUUUUGUAAAUAUAUUGUGUAUUGUGUUACAUAUGAUGAAUACUGUAUAAUGUAUGCCUCAGAUUAUGGCUAAAUAUGGCAAUUAGCAGAGCUUUAGUCAGCAGCCAUUUGCAAUUCUUCGCCAUUUCUUAUUGCCCAUAACUCGUAACGCUGAAUGUGAGCAGACAUCUAAUGCAAUACACAACAGACUCCCAAUGGCAUUAACUGACAGCACGCGUGAUAAGAUCUGCGCAAGAUGCCACGAAAGUCUAUACUUGUGUAGAAAUAUAUUGCGACUCUUUAUAAAACUAUUCUGACAGCAGUUGAGAAGCUGAAAAUUGUGGCGUUGUAAAGAGAGCUUCAGAUUAUAUCUCUCUUCCCCUUAAACUACAAAAAAUACACAAGCUUUUUUUUAAAAUUACUUUAACCGCAAUGUAAAUAUAGCAUGCAACAAAAUAUAUAUACAUUGAACCAGGAAAGCUACAUUUAGCAUUAUAUAUUAAAGCGACACUAUAGUCACCAAAACAACUUUAGCUUAAUGAAGCCGUUUUGGUGUAUAGACCAUCUCCCUCGGUCUCACUCAAUUCUCUGCCAUUUAGGAGUUAAAUCACUUUGUUUAUGAACCCUAGUCACACCUCCCUGCAUGUGACUUGCACAGCCUUCCUAAACACUUCCUGUAAAGAGAUGAGUCUAAACACUUCCUGCAAAGAGUCAUCUAAAGUUUAUCCCUCCUUUAUUGCAAGUUCUGUGUAAUUUAGAUGGUCUUAUCCCCCGCUAUGUUAAUAGCUUGCUAGACCCUGCAAGAGCCUCCUGUAUGUGAUUAAAGUUUAAUUUACAGCGAAAGAGAUACAAUUGUUUAAGGUAAAUUACAUCUGAUUGAAAGUGAAACCAGUUUUUUGUUCAUGCAAGCUGUGUCAAUCAGAGUCAGGGGAGGUGUGGCUAGGGCUGCAUAAACAGAAACAAGGUGAUUUAACUCCUAAAUGGCAGUGAAUUGAGCAGUGAAACCUGAGGGGCAUGAUCUAUACACUAAAACUGCUUCAUUAAGCUAAAGUUGUUUAAGUGACUAUAGUGUCCCUUUAAUUUAAAGCUACUACAUUGUUGGGUCAAGUUAUUACCCAAUUUCAUGAAGCUCCUUUUAUUGACUUUGGAGGUUGAAGGUAACUAUAUCUACUGAGCUGUCUCAAAUUGUUGGAUUUUGCAAACAUAAACAAUAUGAACUACUGAAAGAAAUUAGAAUUACAAAGGAAAAAAAAUGUAUAGAGUCACAUUAAAGAAUCAUAGUGUCAGGAACACAAACAUGUAUGCCUGACACAAUGAUGUUAAACCCACUAUUUAGGUUUUGGGCCCCGCUGUCAUUGCAGUGAAAAUGUGUUUAAACUCACCUCUUCUUGCACACCACCCCAAUCUUGACGUGGCUGUCCUCGCCUCAAUGGCUCAGAGCCCACACUAACAGCCCAUUACUGCCAUCCAUAUUUCUUAAAAAUAUGAAAAACCUAAUUGAAGGGACACUCCUGACAGUUUAGAUUGCUCAAGUGCUUCAUGUGUGAAGAGUGCGAUUCCAUUUUCUUUUUCCAUUUUUCAAAAAGUACAGAUUUCAAUAGAAAUCGAUACUUUUAUAAAUGAACCUUGUUACACCCCCUGGCUGUCAAUCAGACAACCGGUUCUGUUACUUCCUGGUUUGGUUAGCUCAGUGGAGAUAAACUCAAGAGGCAGCACUUGUCCAGAGCACCUGCCUUGCAAAGACUUCUCAUUGAGUUGCAUUGGGAAGUCUGUGAUUGGACAGCCACAGAAUGUCUGAACGGGGUUAGAAGAGGAGGGCUUGCAAAGGCUGCAGACACGAAAUCUGCAGCUUUUGUAAGCUGUUUUUAGAUAUACCCUCAAUGAAAAAAUGCAUACUUAAAUGCAUGCAUCUUUUAAUUGGGGUAAAUCAAUAAUCAGUGAUUUUAUUUUUUUUUGUUGAAUUUGAUAACUUGAAAAUGGACAAAAUAAAAUGAAAACUCUGCAUCCAAACACUUCACACACCCGUGGCAUACUUUUUAGUGGUUAUGGUAUUUAGAGCAUUACUGUAAAUGAACACACCAAGCACUUACAAUGCCAGGACUGCCAUAGCCCCGUCCCAGGGUAAGAAUCAAACUUUCUGCUAACUGAUAGCCCGCGUCAGCCCUGCUCCUCAUGCGGACACCCCUUAGUCUCAGGUUAACUCUUUCACAACCAAGCAAUAUUUGUUUGACAUAAUAUUAGCGCACCAUUUACUUGAAACAAGGGAAGAAAAGCUGGCACAUACGCUUGUAAUAAAACAGAAAUUUUGUAUACCGAUUGCUUCUGAGAGAAACAACAAUUAACAUUGUAAAUAUACACCAUUUUUAUUUUUUAUUUAAUCCUUCAUAACUCUAUAAUAGUGCUUUGGGUAAUGAAAAGGUGUGGGUGGCACACAGUAUUCUGUAUCUUGCCAUAUUUUACACAGCGCUCGAUUUGUUAGUACAAAAGCAAUAAUAUAAUUUUUUUCACACACAGUAGGUGUGACAAAAUUGAUAAAAAUGGAAACAGACUGCUUGUGGGUAGUUAAAGGAAUUAUCUGCAGUACAGCUUACUGAAAGAGGCAACAGAAUGUAAAAAUAAUGUCUGCAUUUGAAUAUAAUGCCCACAUACAGGUAAUACCAUUAAAUCAUACAUUUCUAAGGUAAUUUAAAAAGUGUUAUUGCAAUCUUUACCAAUAUCUGGAAUGCCAACAUAAUGCCAACAGUAAAAUGGUAUUGCUCAUUUACUCAUGUCUGUAGGAAUGAUAUCACUCAUUAAAACUACCUAUACUGUUUGAAAGGAGUGGGUAGCUGUCUUGUUCAGCACACUUGCAGGCAAUACAUUGGUCACCAGGAAAUUAUUCCUAAAGUAUAAAUGAGGUUAAGUGAGGCUUUAUAGACAAAAUUUUGUUCUGCAUGUGAAUGACAGUAAAAAAAAGUUUAUACUUGAUUCUGUAAGUGAAGGGAUCAACAAUUCUUGAUGAGGUAUCCUGGCAGCAUGGGGAAAAUUAAACAGACCGAGAAUAACAUUAAAAUAACUAUUUAUAGGUGACUAUUUUCAUCACAGUGCAAAAAAACAGGUCCUCACAAAUGAAUAUAAUAUUGAAUUUUUACGAGGCACUUUGAAAGUGCAAAAUGUACAGUUUUUGGUAGGAAUGUGUCCGGGUACAACACGUACAGUUUGUUUCUUUCCACAGUGGCCAACUGGAUGCAAAAGGUUUCCUAAUGCUAAUCCAGAGUUAAAACUCAGCCACAUAAAAUACUCAGUGGAGCCCUGCCAAUGAUCCAACAACACGGGCCUGCCAAUGAUCCAACCACUCAGGCCUGCCAAUGAUCCAACCAUUCAGGCCUGCCAAUAAUCCAACAGCACGGGCCUGCCAAUGAUCCAACAACACGGGCCUUCCAAUGAUCCAACAGCACGGGCCUGCCAAUGAUCCCACAACACGGGCCUGCCAAUGGUUUACCAACUCAGGCCUGCCAAUGGUUCAACAACACGGGCCUGCCAAUGAUCCAACAACACGGGCCUGCCAAUGAUCCAACAACACGGGCCUGCCAAUGAUCCAACAACACGGGCCUGCCAAUGGUUUACCAACUCAGGCCCGCCAAUGGUUCAACAACACCGGCCUGCCAAUGAUCCAACAACACGCCUGCCAAUGGCACAACAACUCAGGCCUGCCAAUGAUCCACAACAACACCGCCUGCCAAUGGCACAACAACUCAGGCCUGCAAUGAUCUAAGAACCCAUGCCUGCCAAUGAUCCAAGAACCCAUGCCUGCCAAUGAUCCAAGAACCCAUGCCUGCCAAUGAUCCAAGAACCCAUGCCUGCCAAUGAUCCAAGAACCCAUGCCUGCCAAUGAUCCAAGAACCCAUGCCUGCCAAUGAUCCAACAACACGGGCCUGCCAAUGAUCCAACAACACGGGCCUGCCAAUGAUCCAACAACUCAGGCCUACCAAUGAUCCAACCACUCAGGCCUGCCACCAUCACUCCAACAUGGGCUUACAAACAAUGCUCUAACACAGGUUUGCAAGCGAUGCUCCGAGACAGACCUGCAAGCAACACUCCAACACAAGACUGUCAUAAAUGUUUCACAACAGACCUACCAUCAAUGUUAUUACACCAACCGGUCAUGGAUGAUCUAACACUUGCCUGCCAGCAAAGUUCUGACACAGGCUGCCAGCGACGCUCCAACACAGGCUGCCAGCGAUGCUACAACACAGGCUGCCAGCGGCACUCCAACACAGGCUGCCAGCGGCACUCCAACACAGGCCCUCCUGUUUUACAGCUAAAAGAAGGUGAACUUGCAAAUGUCCUAACUUAGGCCUCAAUAUAGUUCGUUUGGAUCAGCAUCAGAAAUUAUCACAAUCUGUUAGAACAUUUUUCAAAUGAUUUAUUUUUCAAAAUUCCCACAUAUUUUCAUGGAAACUUCUCUAGAUAAAUAAUUUGAAAAGUUUUUCUAACAGAGUGAUCAUUUCUGGUGCUGUUCCAAAAUUAUUAAAGGGACACUAUAGGACCAGACCUCUUCAGCUCAUUGAAGUGUUCUUGGUGCAGUGUCUUGGGCCCCUGAACCUUGCAAUGGUAAUUACUGCAGUUGUUAUGGGUUAACUCUACCUCUAGUGGUUGACUACCAGACAGCCACUAGAGGGACUUCCAGGUCGUUAGGCGACUUUUGGUUGCCUGACUCUGGACGUCCCCACGCUUUGCACGAGGCCAUACAGCGUCACCCAAAACCCCAUAGGAAAGCAUUGUGUGAGAAGUCCUAAUGUGAGCGCGGCUGUCCCAGGAAUGCGCAUUAGUUCCCCCUUGCCGACUGAAGUCGGCGGGAGAGGAGCAAAGAUGGAACCAAAACCAGUGCCGAGAGACAUGGGCGCUGGAAUUAGGUAAGUGACAGAAGGGGUUUUAAACCUCUUCUGCAGCACGGGGGAGAGGAGCGAGGAAGGGGGGCAUUAUAGUUUACCUUUAAAUCGAGGCCUUCGCUAUUUUGAAGUUUAGCUUUCAAUUCACCACAGCUCACAGUCUAAUGGAAAAUCCCCUCUACACUCCACAAACAACCGGACACACACUCACAAUAGGCUUAAUUUACUAAAUAGUGCUUUGAAAGAUUUCAAAAUCAAAUAACAAAAUCUUGUCUAAUUCCUGGUAAGAUAUGGCAGUACAGAUAAAUAAUUGUGUUAGUGUACUGAUCUACAAUCAAUAAAUCGUACCAAUAGAUCUUAUUUACAGAAACCUAGAAUGUGACAGCAGAUAAGAACCAUUCGGCCCAUCUAGUCUGCCCAAAUGUUCUAAAUACUUUCAUUAGUCCCUGGCCUUAUCUUAUAGUUAGGAUAGCCUUAUGCCUAUCCCACGCAUGCUUAAACUCCUUUACUGUGUUAACCUCUACCACUUCAGCUGGAAGGCUAUUCCAUGCAUCCACUACCCUCUCAGUAAAGUAAUACUUCCUGAUAUUAUUUUUAAACCUUUGUCUCUCUAAUUUAAGACUAUGUCCUCUUGCUGUGGUAGUUUUUCUUCUUUUAAAUAUGGUCUCCUCCUUUACUGUGUUGAUUCCCUUUAUGUAUUUAAAUGUUUCUAUCAUAUCCCCCCUGUCUCGUCUUUCCUCCAAGCUAUACAUGUUAAAUUUCUUUAACCUUUCCUGGUAAGUUUUAUCCUGCAAUCCAUGAACCAGUUUACAGAGAGCAGUUCAAGGGAACAGUCAUUGUACUCUGUUUCAGAAUAUGUUGGUGCUUUACAAACAUUAAAGAUAUAUUUAACACCUUAAGGACACAUGACGGAAAUAUUCCGUCAUGAUUCCCUUUUAUUCCAGAAGUUGUGUCCUUAAGGGGUUAAUAAGUGAAACAUUUCAUAAUUAUUAUAUGGAAUGUAUAUUCAGUGAUAUGUAUUAUACAUGACAAUGACUUGCAGGAACACAAAGGUACAAAAUGCAUGUUCUGCAGAUAAGAUCUAAUGAUUAAAGGAAAAGGAAAUGUUUUAUGAUGUUUCGGUAAAUAUGGAAAGGAGAGAAUAUUAGAUUUACCGCAAGUCACAUAACACAACAUGGAAGUAACCCUGUGAGUGCCGGGGGAGGGUGGGGAAGGGCAAUAAAACACAGCACAAAAUAGAUUAUUAUUUUUAACACAUCUAAUUGUGUGGUCUUACUAUAAUCUAGUGCCAGGGAUACCAAGCUGUCUGGGAGAAAGCCACUAGAGGCUGACUUAGUGCUGCAUUGUAAACAUUGAACUUUCUGAGUGUAUAACAGAGCUCCACAGCAAUAAUACUCCCAGUAAUGAGUCUGAGUGUAUAACAGAGCUCCACAGCAAUAAUACUCCCAGGGAUGUGUCUGAGUGUAUAACAGAGCUCCACAGCAAUAAUACUCCCAGUAAUGUGUCUGAGUGUAUAACAGAGCUCCACAGCAAUAAUACUCCCAGUAAUGUGUCUGAGUGUAUAACAGAGCUCCACAGCAAUAAUACUCCCAGUAAUGUGUCUGAGUGUAUACAGAGCUCCACAGAAAUAAUACUCCCAGUGAUGUGUCUGAGUGUAUAACAGAGCUCCACAGCAAUAAUACUCCCAGUAAUGUGUCUGAGUGUAUAACAGAGCUCCACAGCAAUAAUACUCCCAGUAAUGUGUCUGAGUGUAUAACAGAGCUCCACAGCAAUAAUACUCCCAGUAAUGUGUCUGAGUGUAUAACAGAGCUCCACAGCAAUAAUACUCCCAGUAAUGUGUCUGAGUGUAUAACAGAGCUCCACAGCAAUAAUACUCCCAGUAAUGUGUCUGAGUGUAUAACAGAGCUCCACAGCAAUAAUACUCCCAGUAAUGUGUCUGAGUGUAUAACAGAGCUCCACAGCAAUAUUACUCCCAGUAAUGUGUCUGAGUGUAUAACAGAGCUCCACAUCAAUAAUACUCCCAGUAAUGUGUCUGAGUGUAUAACAGAGCUCCACAGCAAUAUUACUCCCAGUAAUGUGUCUGGGUGUGUAACAGAGCUCCACAGCAAUAAUACUCUCAGUAAUGUGUCUGAGUGUGUAAAAGAGCUCCACAGCAAUCAUACUCCCAGUAAUGUGUCUGAGUGUAUAACAGAGCUCCACAGCAAUAAUACUCCCAGCAAUGUGUCUGAGUGUAUAACAGAGGUCCACAGCAAUAAUACUCCCAGUAAUGUGUCUGAGUGUAUAACAGAGCUCCACAGCAAUAAUACUCCCAGUAAUGUGUCUGAGUGUAUAACAGAGCUCCACAGCAAUAAUACUCCCAGUAAUGUGUCUGAGUGUGAGCUCACAGCAAUAAUACUCCCAGUAAUGUGUCUGAGUGUAUAACAGAGCUCCACAGCAAUAAUACUCCCAGUAAUGUGUCUGAGUGUAUAACAGAGCUCCACAGCAAUAAUACUCCCAGUAAUGUGUCUGAGUGUAUAACAGAGCUCCACAGCAAUAAUACUCCCAGUAAUGUGUCUGAGUGUAUAACAGAGCUCCACAGCAAUAAUAAUCCCAGUAAUGUGUCUGAGUGUAUAACAGAGCUCCACAGCAAUAAUACUCCCAGUAAUGUGUCUGAGUGUAUAACAGAGCUCCACAGCAAUAAUACUCCCAGUAAUGUGUCUGAGUGUAUAACAGAGCUCCACAGCAAUAAUACUCCCAGUAAUGUGUCUGAGUGUAUAACAGAGCUCCACAGCAAUAAUACUCCCAGUAAUGUGUCUUUACUGCUCUAAAAUGUGCCCAGACUUGUCUGGUUUUAUUGCUGAACAUGUAAUGAGUCACACAAAGAGCGCAGUCACAGUUGGGAAAUCUGUUGCAGAUUUGCAGACUAAUAGAGCACCAUGGGAAAUGUAGUUUUUUUUAUUAUACAGCCUUGAGAAGUGAUGGCUAGUCUUGGCUUUACUAAGAUGCAGGUUUGCAUAGCUUCAUGGCAAAUUUAGUUUCUGCUGCCGGACAGGCUAUAACUCAUGCCAAAUGCCCCUAAACUAAGCUUUAUAAAAUUAUCUUAUUGCCACAAAAGAAAGUUUAGAUUUUUAUUUCUGCUGCCUUGCUAUGAAAAUAUAUUCAAAACUCUUUUGAUUUGCUAUAAUCACAAAAGAAGUACCUUAUCAAAAAUAUCCCUUUAUUGAUACACUGUAGUUAAGAAUCCCUUUAACACUUUGACCUCUGUGAGUCUAUGCAGAAUUAAACCACGUAGUGAGAUCAAGCUGUGGAUUUUAGCAGACACAAAUCAAAUGGUAUUUGAUAAGAAGGCUUAUCAAACAAAUUAUAUAAUGAAGAAAAUAUUUGUUUCCCUAAGACAAGCAUCCGUAUAUUAUAAUGUAUUUAAAUGCAAAAAACAAAAAUGUCUUUUUCACCAUGCGUGCUACGUUAUCUAUAUUGAGCUGGAAUAAUAACGGUGACAUUGUGACAUUGUUUUGCAGACGACUUCCUUGUGGCCAAAAUAUAUAUAUAUAUAUAUAGUGUUUAAAAAUAACAAGGAUAAAAGUGAUACAUGGAAAGUAUACUGUGGUUUGUUAAUAGAAAACGAACCAGAAAAUAUUUCCUUUGCUAAAGAAAACUUCGAAAAAAAUACUUCCUUUGAAAAAAACAACUAACGCUAUUCAUAAACAACCGAACAUAACACACACGGGCAAAUCAACAGAAACAUGCCCACAAGUUAAACCUUUUUUUUACAUAACUGUAUUCAAGAAUCAACAAAGGGAAUGUGGGUAAAGAAAUGAGCAAAUUUUAAAUUUAAAUAGCUUUAAUUUAGGCCAAUAUCUUAUUUAUUAAAAUGAUGGUGUAUUAAGAUUUACUUAGCAGAUGUUUAUCAUUUUAUACAACUUUUUAUUCCGUCACCAUUAGGUAAGGAGUAUACUCCCCCCAAAAAUAAAGUCUUUGUAGAAAACAUUAAAAGACACCAUUAAAGCAGAAAUACAAAAUGCACAGUACAAAAAGGUGCCGUAUAAAUUAAACUUGUUAAUCUGUUCUCUCUUUAUUGCCCCUGUUUCUUGGAACGUUACAGAAAAUAGCUAUUUUAAAGGGACACUAUAGUCACCAGAACAACUACAGCUUAUUGUAUUUGUCCUGGUGAGUAGAAUCAUUACCUGCAGGCUUUUUGCUGUAAACACUGUCUAAAUUAAUAAUGCUUUUCCUCUCCCCAUGUUCAGCAUGCGCACACACGGCGGAAUGGGGAAUUGCACAGGUGCAUUCAUGGAAUUCUAUGGGAAGUCCAGUAGCAAGCUUAGCUUCUGGUAAAAAAUCUAGGAAAUUCUUGAAAAGUUACGUUUAUUCCUUCCCCACCCCUCACGCCUACAGGUACAUUUUAAAGUAAAUUUAGGCCUUGGAUUUUAUAGCAAGGAAUGUAAAUAUGUAAAUCUGUCUGCAGUAACACCAUCUGCAAGUAUAUAGAUAGAAAGAAAUGAUCCUUCUGGCCUAUCUCCAUACAGAGCACUGGCAGGAACAAUUAUUGUUUUAGAACGAUCGCAUUUAUCCAUAUCUUUGUUGAAUGUCCGUGGGGGAUAUCCAACAAAUGCCAAAUUUUGGAUUCGGAUUUCAGUUCUCAGUCACUUUCAUUUUUUCAGUUUUUUUCUUUAAUAAACUGGGUUAAAUUCCUCCAAGAUUCAUUUUAUACACUAUCGCCCCAAAAACAUUGAGCUGAACAGGUCCCGUAACUUUCAAAUAGAUCUCAUUGUAGCAUUGAUAAAACCGAUCGGCAGCUAAAUGUUCCCCAUAUAACAAAAUAAAAAUGCUUGAGGUGUUUAGAGUAAAGUCAAAAUGAUUUAGGGUGAGGAGGGUUUUGUAUUACAGAAAAUUCCGUGGACUGUAAUCAUGGAAUGAAACUAAAUGAAAGAUUCCGUAGCUAUUCAGUUAUUUGUUACUAGGAGAAUUAGCCAGCAUGUAGGGAAAUUUAGAAAUUAGAAUUGCUAACUCAACUAGACUUGGAUGAGAGUGCAAAACAUGGAUGAAAUAUCUAAAAUGUUCCUUGUGUGAAUAGAAGUAACUCUAUUUUGGAUAUUUAGUUGCUAUCUGGCACUUACUAAACAAACCUCUUUUUUUGUUAAUGCAAACAUUUGUUCAUAAAUGCCUUAGAAUAAUCUCUGGGGUCUUGAUCUAACUGAUUUGUAAUUUCUGAUCACGUUUUUUUUAUUUUUGUCGACUCAACAAAAUGCGUCGGUCUCAAGGAAGGUGGAGGAAAUGAUCAGGUUACUACAUCUUAAAAGGGAUACUUUGCUGAAGUGCUUCAUGUAUGAAGAGUGUGUGUUUUCAUUCUACAAAAAAGUGCAGAUUUUGAGCGUGGUUAAAAGAGGAGUGCUUGCACAUGCUGCAGACAAGAAAUCUGCAGCUAUUGCAAGCUGUUUUUAGCUGUUUUCAAUGAAGGUAAAUCUACUAAAUAGUAGUUUAAAAAAAAAAAAAAAACACUUAUAUUUUUGUAUUUGGCCAGUGGAGUGCCUCUUCAAUCUAUCCUUUUCCUUGUGAUUCUAAUUUUAUACAUAGCUGAACCUAAUAACUCGUGCAGAUGUUUUGUGAAUACCAGGUUCAUUUUAUAGAGGACUGCAGUGAUUACAAAGGAAGCAUUUUAAAAAUGACUCAUAAUGUUAUCUAUAACUUUCUAUUUUUCAAGGUGUGUCACACAUGCCUCCUGAAAAGACACAGGCUGGGCCCUCCAUGUAAAGUAACAUAUUGUCCUAUAAUCCCUGGUGUGACUGAUGGGAUACAGCCGCUUUCUGAUUGCAGGAGACAUAGUAAAUAAAAUAGCAAUUAAGAUGCAACUUGGACAGGGUAUUAGAUUUAACCAGAACUUAGACGACCACACAGGGGCUUUAAAAAACUGUAAGCAAACUGGGUUGUUUAUAAUUAUGUUUCUUGUUGCUUCGUUAACAUUAUGCAAAUCCAAUGAAUUCAUCAUUUGCUUUACUUGCACUUUUUUUUUUUCUACAAAAUGGGAAUUUCCCAACGUAACGUUUGAGAGCUAAUGACAUGUUAACGGCUGCUGAUGAGGCAUUAACAAUAUAAACAGGAUCACAAUCUCGCAAUGCACAUACUCUUCUGCAACACUUUUAGAAUGAUCAGUUUGAUGAAUAAAGGCCGUAUGCCUUAUGUUACAUAGUUGAGAUUAAAGUAAUUACUUAAAGACAACAUGUUCUCCUCUGUCCAUGUUGUCUGCCCUUUGCCCUGCUGUGGGCGUAUGUUAACUAAUGGAUUGUGGGUAAAUUAGCACCUGAAAUGGAACUUUAUUUAAAGAAACACUCCGGGCAGCAUAACUACUUUAUCGGAAUGAAGUUGUUAUGAUUCCAAGAGGUCCCUAAUGCUGGCUGACCCACAGGGUAAGACUGCUAAUGAACGGUUUAACCCCAAAGUCUUCUGUCCAGUGCCAGUCAUCUCCGCCCACAUACUUCCAUUACAGUCCGAGGAGUUAAACAGGGAUACUGUUAUCGGCUGAAAGUUUCAGCUGUGUAUCCAAUAUUAUAUAUUGAUCGUUCCUUUGACAGUAGUAUCACAAAAGGUAGGAGAAUUACAAUUUGUCACUUAGUAAACCCCUAAAUAUUUUACUCUUAAAAAUAAACAACAAAUUGUGUAAAUCCUUGAGCUUUCGCAAUGUACCAGGAAAACCUUUGCUGUGGUUAAGAGGCCAUCUCUGUGUCAGUUACUGUUAGAACAUGUGAAUCCGCUGAUGGACAAUGAAGUCACCAGUCCGAUGACAUCACUGUAAACUCUACGCAGAAAUGUAAGAAGACGGUAAUAUGGGCAUCCUGCUGAGGAGGGAAAAGUGCUAGUUAACUGAAAGAGAGAAAGCACAUUAUACUUAAUCAUCUGGGAUGAACCUAAGGAAAAUGUCAAGACCAUGAAUCAUUGCUGAAUCUAUCCAAAUUGCCAGCGAGGAGACUUUCUCCUAAAACAUUUAUCAUGCUUGCCCUUGCAUUCUAAAACUCUACACAUGCACUGGAUUGAUGGGUUAUGGAGAUUGCCACUCAUGUACCAGGUGUCCCGAAGCAUUUCAUCGAACAUGUGCCAAGUGUCCCGAUGCUUCUCUAUGAGAAGCAUCUGAUUGAACACAAGUCAUCACAAAUGAUAACUUCACAGAAGGCAGGCAGGAGUUGCAAUGAGCAGACACUCCUGGUGCUGAAAUCGAGAGGAGUUUAUUUGCUAUUUAAUCCUUUCAAUGUUAUGCUCUGUGCAAUGUUCUGCUGGGAAUCCUUAGCAGACUGGUCACAGUCGAGAUAGUAUUAUCAGUCAAUCUUAUUUUCUCUCGAGCCAAAACCCUUAUUUUUAAUGCAUUAUAUAAGUAGUGCAUUAAAAUUUAUAAAUAAAAAAAUGUAGACUAAAAAAAGAUACACACCUUCAAAGUUCCAUUUGAUGUGCUGGUUACUGUGUCAGCCUAUAGCUGCAUACAGACAUCUCCUCAUCUGAAAAUGCCUCUUAUUUUAGUAAUUCAUCCCCUUGGGUAGUUAUUCGUUACAUUCAUCACACAGGAUGAUAUGAAUUGAUCUGUAAAAUAAUAGUGAGGUAACUCAGUUGGUAAAUUCCCUGACUACAGAGUCUGUUAAAAAAAAUAUUUAAAAAAUGCAAGAUCACAGGUUCAGAUCCCAGCAGGGUCAACUCAGCCCUUCAUUCUUCUGAGGUUGAUAAAAUGAGUACCAUCAGUUUGGUAAUAAUAACAACGUCUAUUAUUAUUCAGCUGCUGAUUGGGUGAAUUCUGAGUAAAUAUGAGUCUAACUGGGAGAAAUACUAGUUAUUAUGUUAUAUAAUAUACUGCUGUGGUCAGUUUGCACAUAGCCUAGCUCAUUGUUUAGUGAUCUGGACUAGUCACAGUCAGGAUGUCUGCAGCUCAGCUCUCUCAGUACAAGUUGGUGUGGCGGACUGACUGGCACCCCGACUGCGUGCCUCCGCCAAUCGAUGCUUCCUAGUGCUCACCAAGCACUCCACCAGACACCGUAAACACCGCAGCCAGCGUUGGGUUCUUGCUGUCCUGGACCAAAGACCCAAGAACUCUCACUUUAACCUUUAAUAAGGUAUUUUAGUCCCCAGAGAACCCGACACAACUAUACAUGGGUGGUAUCAAUGUACUCGGGAGAUGUUGCUGAACACAUAUUGGGGAGUUAUUUGGCAGUAACCCUUAAAGUUCUCAGUAUAUGUAUUCUUAAAUUGCUAUGUGGGUCAAAAAAAUCACCAAUUUUGGAGGUUUUUUUUUGGCAUAGAUUGGUGGUAAAAUGGUUGCACGAAAAGAGUCAAAAUACCCCAACCUUAGGUUGUCUUCUUUUAAAAAAAUAUAUACAUGUGUAGGGUUAUUCAGGAAUUCCUGACAGAUAUCAGUGUUACAAUGUAACUUGCGUUAAUUUUGAAGAAAAAAAAAAUGGUUUGGGCAUAGCAAAGUGCUACUUGUACGUAUAGCCCUAUAACUUCCAAAAAAAGCUAAGAACAUGUUAACAUUGCAUAUUUCUAAACUCAAGACAAAAUUUUGACUACUACUACCAACUAUUUAGAAUGGGUGUUUUUUGGGGGUUGUAGAUGCAUAACAUAUUUUUGGGCUCAAAGUUAGAAAAAGUGUGUUUUUUUAAAUUAUUUCAUCAUAUUUUAUAAUAUUAUUUAUAGUAACAUAUGAUAUGAUGAAAAUAAUGGUAUCUUUAAAAAAGACCAUUUAAUGGCGAGAAGAACGGUAUAUAAUAUGUGUGGAUACAGUAAGUGAGUACGAGGAAAAUUACAGUUAAACACAAACACUGCAGAAAUGUAAAAACAGCCCUGGUCCUUAACGGUAACAAAAUUGAAAAGCGGUCUGGUCACUAAGGGGUUAAUACACACACACACACACACACAGAUAUUUUAUACUUUAAUAUUUUGACAAAAUCAUUUCAAAAGUUUAUCCAAAAAUAUCAAAUAAUUUGAAAAGAUUAAACAAAAAUAUUAAAUCGAAGCCUUGUUCAUUUUGUUAAAGCCUGAGCUUAUCUUGCAGGGAAUCGAACCUGCGACUCAGACAGGAGCCCUAGCCACUGAAAUUUCUCACUAGGUUAGCAGUCUGUUUUUCUUUUUCGAACUUGCUGACUAAGCUAUUGCCAGGGAAUAGAUUUUUGGUACUUUAUACGAAUAUAGAAGUAAAUAAAAUGAAAGGAAAACAAUUUGUGCAAAUGUGUCCGGUGUUUGUGCCAAGUCACUGCAAGUUUCCCUUUUCCCUAUAAAAAACUGUUUCCUAAAUAAAAACAGGUCGACAAAAACAGCUUGGUUGGGCAAAGUAUGUGUUAAUUUAGACCCUCAGCGUUUCCCGUUUCCAAAAAAACAAGGAUAUUGAACAGUCUGCCAUCAGAUUUUAUUUACCUCCACAGGAAAGGCCUGAUUUAUAGAUGACCUAAAACCUUCCACAACAAGUGUUGGAAAUAAUAACACGUUCAAAAAGUCAUCUUGGUGUAUAGAUGCAAAAAUAAAUAUCUGAUUAAAGAGGCACGGUUCCAAAAAUGUUUUACGAGCGUAUAUAAAGCGACAGCGAAAGUCUAAGCUCAAGAGGCCACGAAAUUCUGUUUUGCUUUGAACUUCUGUACAAAACAAAUUACGCGUACAAGCUGAAAGUCUUUACAGUGAUGUCUUUAAUUUAAGGACACAUGACAUGUGUGACAUGUCAUGAUUCCCUUUUAUUCCAGAAGUUUGGUCCUUAAGAGGUUAAACUGGGAGCAUCAAUUGAAAAGAGAAAUUAAAAUUAAUCACUAAAGCAUAAUAAAUACUUAUAAUUUGCAUUCAGUAUUAGCAAACAAUUUAGGCAGAUGUUAAGAUAUUUGUAAAAAUACUUCUACAAUAUUAUCUACAUGUUCUUAAUGUAUUACAUACAGAGAGAACAUUAAAUACGGCGGGUAGAAACAUUUUAUCUACUAUUAAUUUACUAGAAAUGUUUUACAUGUGAUAAAAUAUGAAGAUUACUUUGUCAUUUUUAUUGACUUUAUUAUUAUGCUAUAUUAAAUCUUGGGGAUUUGCAUUAAAUGAAGAAUCGUAAGAAGUUUGUAUAUUACAUUGUAUAUUAUUUUUAAUAUAUUAUUUUUGAAUACAUUUUUUCAUGCAUUACCAAUAUAAUGUUCUAAACAAAGAAUUGGGAGUAUCCCUUUAAGUAAACACUGUUGAUACUUUGCGAUUUGUCGAGCAGGAGUAUAAAUUAAAGCAAACGACGUGCCAAUUGUUCGGGAAGGGAGGUGACACCACUUUAAAUAAUUAAUGUUGAAAUUGACGAGUUCUUUCUAUUCUAUUUUUAAAUUGCUCAGCUAGCUCUCUUCUACGCAAAAUGUAAAGCACAGAAAUGAUGUGUGAUGUGGAACAGUUUUUAGUAUUUUAGUAAAAUUGCCAUGUAAUGUAUAUAUAUACAGAUAUGAUUGGAUUUGCAAUGCCAUCCAACCAAUGUACCCAGUCUGUCCGAGUGGGCACGAUUAGCGGCAGUAUGUGCAAACGCAGAACAUUUUUCAUUUAUUAACAUUAUUAACAUAAUAAUUAACAGUAUUGCUAAUUAUGAAGAGCCAAAAUAUUCUAUGGUGAUCUGCAAUAUCUCACCUCUUGAUUGACUUCCGCAACUGAACCUAAAAUUCACUUUGAAAUGCAGACAGUAUGUAAGCCUGCCAAAUGGGCCUGUCUGUCAAUAUGAGAAAACAGGACAGGUAUAGUCUUACAUAAAUAUCACAACAUAACUUUGACAAUAAUAUAAAAGGGGUAACAAUUUCCACUGUAUAAAAAUAAAGUUCAUCGUACAUAUAAACAACUUCUUAAAUAGAAAUAAAAAAUAAAAAAAUGAAUUUAUCAUGUAGUUAUGGUGGAAAAGUGAUGAUAAAAUAAUGAGUGUAAGUAAAACAUUGAUAGGGCUGCCAGGAUGCCGAAAGGAUUUAUGUCACGGUUAAAAAGAAACAGUCUGGAAACUCCCUGAUAGUGACAGCCCCUCAUUCCUUCACCUCAGCAAAUGCUGCUGAAGUACUUUUUGGGGUACGCAGGGCAAGUAUAGCUAGGUAGGUGUAAAACAUAUGACAUUCUUUCCAAAGAGUCUGAAUGCACAGCACCAUGGGUUUUUAAUUAAUUUGCAUGGUAUGCCUUGGCUGUGUCAGGAACAGCCGGGCAAAUAAUGUCAUUUAAACAAUAAAAACUAUUGUUAUAUUUUAGUAAGCUAAUGGAACAUGCACAAAUCUCCAGACACACACACACACACAUACUACUGACAUGCUGCCUGGGUGUUUAAAAAAUUAUUUUCUUUUUCUUUUUUUUUUUUAUGAUAAAAUAAAGAAAUUGGAACCAAACAUCCAGUCCGAUUGUCCACCAUAACCACUGUGUAUUGGGAGUUUUUAAGUGUUGCAGUUCAGCUAGCAGGUUUUUUGUUUUACUUAAAGCUGUAUAACCCACGACUAAGUUAAUUCAUAAAGUCCACAAAUUACUCUAUAGCAUCCAGUUUAUAUAACCCUGCACACAUAACUUCAUUCUUUUUCAUGAAUCAAACCUACAGUGGAUAGUAAUAGCGCACGUCCCGGCUAACCCGUAUAUAUAAGGUUUCACUAUCACUCCAUAAAGGGAGCAAUUGGAUUGGCUGAGCCACUUCCUGGUUUGAUGAGAUCUUACUGCACAAGAAGUAAAUGAAGGAACGCCAAAGGUUAUUUCAAAUUUAUUUGUUUGGAAAUUUAUAUUGAAAUAUUUGCAUAACAUACUUAAAAGCACAGGGGAGAUUUAGUUUAAAUCUGCUACCUUUUGAAAGACCAAUGUGAUAGGAAAAAAAAGACAGACACGUAAUUAUGGCCGCAGCAAGUCUCUUUUUUUUUUUUUUUUGCAUUUUUGUAAAAAAAAUAAUAAAAAAUAUUCAAUUUUCUGUUUUUUCUGUUUCUGACUAUCAUUAUUUUAUUAAAUUAAAUAUUAAAAUUAAUAUAAAUUGGAUAUAAUUAGUGUUUUAGAUGUACUGUAACGGGCUUUUCUGUUAAAAAAAGAAUAUAGAUAGAUACAUACAUAUUUUGCUUAAAACUUUCUUUACUUAAGCUCCCCAGCAGCAUAACUUUCACAUAGUAACAGGAUAAACCAAUCAGAAAAAAGAACACAGGUAAUAAAAGUCCCUCCCCCAUUUAGCUCUUCCUCUUUCUUUGCUGCUCCUCACCAGUACAGCUCACUGUCUCCCACUCUGUGGGGAUUACUGUAUUUUAUCUUGUUUUUUCUGAUGUUUCUUUUUAUUCUGUCAUUUCUUAUGGUUUCCCUUAUUAUAUAUGUUUUCUGAGGUACAUCCUGUUUUUAUAAUACUUCUACUUUUGCUUUAUAUUUUUUCCUCUCUUAUUUUACAUGGGUUUUUGCUCUGCUUUCUCUCAGGGUAAUUUUCAUUAUUUUGUUUUGUGUCUUAUUGUUUCUUUUGUGUUGCUUUCAUUUGUCCGGUAUAGCGGCUGGCUUUUUGCCUCCCCGAUUUUCCAGGGCUUUUUCUACCUUGUGGCGGCCAUCUGAGAUCCCGCGCACUAGCGCUAAAUCCUGGCAGCCAUCUUGGAUCCUGCGCGCCUGUGAGAGAUUGCGGUGGCCAUUUUGUUGGAGUCUGCGAUCCGUGCAGGCUCUCUAGUGCGCAUUGAUACCCUAGUUUGCGCCUGGCUCGCGGCUGUCUCCCGCAAAUCGCUGGAUGCUAUCUGAUGCACCUAGCCUUACGUUAGGCUAGGUCAUCUCUCUCAAUGAUUGUAGUUUGCUCUGGGAGGAUUAAAGUUUUAAUUCAAGUAUAAGUGAUUAGUAUAUUGUGUCAUUAAACUAGCUUGCACACAUUGCUAUGAAUCAGUCUGCUUUUGAUUGUUAGUAUAUCAUCCUAAUUCCAUAGAGUGUUUUUCUCAUAUGUAUUCAAGGUUCCUGCAGCAGUCUCACGCACUGCUGCCACCCUUACUUUACCAUCUGUAUCACAGGAUUCAUAUUUAUUAUUAUUUACCUGCAUUACGCUACAGGGUUUAGAGGGUGAGCCCCUCUUAUUGGACCCUUCACUAUAGCAGAGUGGGUACUUCUGCCACAAUACCUAUACUGGGGUAAACCCUCAUAUUAUUAUUAUAUCUACACUAAGCCACUUCUACAUCCAAGUGAUAUUGUAAGGGGUGAAACCCCUAUAUUUAUUUAUGACCACUCUAUCGGGUAUAUUUAUAUUGGUCACUGCAUGGUUUCGCUGUCCCUGGUACAUCUAUCUGAUUGGCCCGCUUUGUCUGUGCCCUAUUACCUCCCUACAGGGUAUAUAUACAACCGGAGGAUUUUUCUACUGGGUCAGCCCCAGUUAUAUAUAUGUGGCUAAAUUUAUUACAUAUAUGCGCACUGGUCCCUGUUUCUAAUACUGGCUUAUUCUGCCCCUCAGGUGAACUGGCUAACAUUAUGGAUUCCGCUCAAGACCAGAAUCUCCAGGCGCUUAUUAACGCAGCAGUGGCUGCUUCUAUUGAAAAGGCCCUAGCACGGGUCCUUCCCUCGGAGCUUAAGGACAAAACUUCCCCCGAGCCACUACGCUCUGCAGAAGAAUGUGAUGACUCAGAUUCCCCCAAGGUGUGCAAAUUGGAAAGGGGAGGGGUUACCUUCUCCAGAUCCCAACGUACGGAAUCCGAUUUCUUCGCGGCUUUCUAUCCAUAUUUUUCCAAUUUCACGAAAUUAUGUGUGGCGUCUACCCUCUCUCAUUACUGAGCUGUUACCGCUUCCCUCCGUUCCUCUCCCUCUGGUCAACUAUUGGUCUCGUACGUUUGCCUCCAUGCCCCAGUCUCAACCACCACCCUGGCACAUUGGAUCAGAUGGUUACUCUCCUUAGCGAGGGUCGAAGCUUCCUUUGGGGCACAUUCGGUCAGGGGGGCGGCGGCCUCAGGUGCAUUUAUGGCAGGUGCUUCUCUACAUGAUAUCCCCAAAUCCACGGAUUGGUCCCGGGAGGAGACUUUCCGCAAUUUCUACUUCAGUCCGGCUGUGUGUCAAAACAGCAAAAUAUGAAGCCUCCUGUCAUGUUAUAAAAUUGUAAAUUUUGCUAGCUUUAGUGUAUCUUAAUUUUAUUAAUGACAGGAGGCGAAUAUUUCCCACCCUUUCUUUUCCCUGUCCCUUUUGUUUGCUUCAUCAGGUAAGACAGAGGGGUGAGUACGGUUGCAGUUCUCUUAUAGCAUGUCUGGUUUUUUGUUCAGUUAGUAACUAUAACUGGUUAAACUCUGAAUUUUAAUCAUCUAGGUUGCAUGCAUUUAGGAGUCCAAUUCUCUGAUGAAUCCCUCCUUUCGACUCUCUUCUUUCGUUUCAGUUUAAAAGGCCUUCCAGUGUGCAGAUUCAAGACCGUUCCUGUUAAUCUUGGACUCUUCUGAGACUUAAUUCCAGUUCGUUCAUCAGUUCCUGUUUGGUUCGUGUCGCAGCCAGAAAGAGGAAGAGCUGAUUUGGGGAGGGACUUUUAUUAUCUGUGUUCCUUUUUUCUGAUUGGUUUAUCCUGUUACUACGUGAAUGUUAUGCUGGGGAGCUUAAGCAAAAUAUGAAGCCUCC